GGAAUCCUUUGUUACAAAGGAAAAGAAUCAAUUAUUCAGUGACUUUUGCGGAAGGAGUGAGUGAAACUGAAACAGGCCAGAAAUCUGUAAACCUGUUCCGCACACAGCCACAUGAGUUAGCGAGACAGAAAAGGCAUCGGAUCACCAUACAUCAUCAUCAGAAGAAGGGUAGAGUUCACAGAAGAAGCACAACAAUAAACAACUUCAAGUACACCUACAACAUCUGGCUAAGCUUCAGCUGAUUACCCAUUGGUGUAGAUUUCGAAAUGUGACAAUGAGAAGCCAUCAGAGGGCUGUGAAGGCACCUGCUGUGAGAAAAGCACAUGGGACCCCAGCCUCUCCCCGUGUACACGUUGCUCGGUCUCCACCCAGCCAGCCCAGGGCCUGCUUUACACCCAGGAUCAGUCCAGGUUCGGGAGAAAUGCCAGAGGGAACCUGGACCAGAGUGCUGGACACGUUGCUUCCCUGGUGCCAAGAAUCCCAGUCGGAGAUAUGAGCCCAAAGCACCUCAAAGGAUGGAGAAGGUAGAGUUCUGGCGAAAUAUACUUUACCAUGUUUCUUUUGACAUAUCAACAGGAAAACAGCUACUGACUUUCAGGCUGCUCUCUCCCUUCCUGUUUAUUUCUGCGAUGGGUGAAGCUCUGGGCGGCAAGGGUAACUGCUGUAUCAUUGUAUAG
rnacentral:lncRNA from 1 species